rnacentral:lncRNA from 1 species
GUAUCUUGCAAUGGUGCAAAUGGCUGUUGCAGUGAACAGAAAAUAAAAUCUACCCGAUAUUUAAGGUUAAAUUAAUAAGAAGAGGAUUCCUCUUAACUUUCGCUUUUUUUUCUUUUUUUUAUUGAUGACCGAGAAAUACGUCUGGAGCCGAUCUUUUGGACAAACAGCAGCCUUCGAAAUUCAGUGGAUAAUGGGCCCGCCCCUCUAUCCUUCUCCACUUAAAUAGCAGGUUUUGCUUUGCAUGGU